UACGUAGGGUGCGAGCGUUAAUCGGAAUUACUGGGCGUAAAGCGUGCGAAGGCGGUGAGCUGUGUCCGAUGUGAAAGCCCCGGGCUUAACCUGGGAAUGGCAUUGGAAACUGGCUCGCUGGAGUGUGGCAGAGGGGGGUGGAAUUCCGCGUGUAGCAGUGAAAUGCGUAGAGAUGCGGAGGAACACCGAUGGCGAAGGCAGCCCCCUGGGCUAACACUGACGCUCAGGCACGAAAGCGUGGGGAGCAAACAGG
rnacentral:rRNA from 1 species